rnacentral:rRNA from 1 species
GGGUGAGUAACGCGUGGGUAACCUGCCUCAUACAGGGGGAUAACAGCCGGAAACGGUUGCUAAAACCGCAUAACAUGCGGAUGCCGCAUGGUGACCGUAUCAAAUAUUUAUAGGUAUGAGAUGGGCCCGCGUCUGAUUAGCUAGUUGGUGAGGUAAUGGCUCACCAAGGCGACGAUCAGUAGCCGGCUUGAGAGAGUGACCGGCCACAUUGGGACUGAGACACGGCCCAAACUCCUACGGGAGGCAGCAGUGGGGAAUAUUGCACAAUGGGGGAAACCCUGAUGCAGCGACGCCGCGUGAGUGAAGAAGUAUUUCGGUAUGUAAAGCUCUAUCAGCAGGGAAGAAAAUGACGGUACCUGACUAAGAAGCCCCGGCUAACUACGUGCCAGCAGCCGCGGUAAUACGUAGGGGGCAAGCGUUAUCCGGAUUUACUGGGUGUAAAGGGAGCGUAGGUGGUUCGGCAAGUCAGAUGUGAAAGCCCGGGGCUCAACCCCGGGACUGCAUUUGAAACUGCCGUACUAGAGUGCAGGAGAGGUAAGUGGAAUUCCUAGUGUAGCAGUGAAAUGCGUAGAUAUUAGGAGGAACACCAGUGGCGAAGGCGGCUUACUGGACUGUAACUG